AGAGGUUUGAGUCCUGGCGCAGGACGAACGCUGGCGGCGUGCUUACACAUGCAAGUCGAACGGAGUACCCUCGAAAGAGGAUUUCGGUCAAUGGAGAGGACUGCUUAGUGGCGGACGGGUGAGUAACGCGUGAGGAACCUACCUUUCAGUGGGGGACGAACAGUUGGAAACGACUGCUAAUACCGCAUAACGUAUUUGUGUCGCAUGGCAUUGAUACCAAAGAUUUAUCGCUGAGAGAUGGCCUCGCGUCUGAUUAGCUAGUUGGUAGGGUAACGGCCUACCAAGGCGACGAUCAGUAGCCGGACUGAGAGGUUGGCCGGCCACAUUGGGACUGAGAUACGGCCCAGACUCCUACGGGAGGCAGCAGUGGGGAAUAUUGGGCAAUGGGCGCAAGCCUGACCCAGCAACGCCGCGUGAAGGAAGAAGGCUUUCGGGUUGUAAACUCUUUUGACAGGGAAGAGCAGAAGACGGUACCUGUCGAAUAAGCCACGGCUAACUACGUG
rnacentral:rRNA from 1 species